AGGGGAGCAUGACGCAGGGAGGAGGGAAGGGACAAAAGAGAGGCCGGGAGGCGGCGGGCGGCCGGCGCGCCCACUGCUCCCUCCCUCCUCCCUGGCCAGUCCCCGUCCUCUGGCGGCGGCUUUCCCUCGGUCCCCUCCGCCUCUCCUCCUUCCCUUCUCCGGCCUCCUCCCUCUUCUCGCCAGCCUCCCUCCUGGCCCUGCGCGAUCUCUCGCGCCUCUCCCUCCGCUCGUGUCAUUGUGUCAUUCUUUCUCUCCUCCUCGCUCGGGUCUCGGUACGUCUGUCCUUCCACUGCCGGCGUGUCUUCGUCCUCCGCGCUGGGGCUACGGGUCUUCGCGUCUUACUCUCCCUCUCUGCCGGUCCCCCUCCCGCUAUGUCCCCUGGCUGCUCCCGGGGCUCCAUCCUCCCCUUCUCCGGCCUCCUCCUUCCCGCUCUCCUCUCCCCUACACCUUCCCCAGGCAGGGUCUGCAGUUCCCGCUCCCUCUGCUCGCCCAGCCUCCCUCCCCUCGCUGAGGUUCGGCACCCCCGCCCCCCACUGGGGACGCGAAGGUGAAUCAGACCCAAACGUGCCCUUGCAGCGGGAGCUCACGGUGUGAUGGGAGAGACAGACCCAGCCGCAGACAGUCCCAUUCCGGGGUGAUGGGGUGUGACCGAGGGCAAGACCAGAGGCUGAGAGAGCCGGGGCGGAAGGAAUCCUCGCCGCAGGUCCACCAGGGAGGACCUCCAGAGAAGGCGUGGUUGUGGCGUGACCUCCGAGAACCAGAAGUUAGACCUGAAUUGUUGAGAGGGGCAGCAGUAAGGGCGUUCCAGGCCCAGGGCACAGCUUAAGCAAAGGCCCAAAGGCAGGAAACCAAGGUGAUUCCGGAGGACAACAAAGCAGUCAAGUCUGACUAGAGCGGUAGGGGCCGGGAGCCAAGGAGCGUAGAAGAAGCUGGGGUGUGGCUCAGAGCAGGGUCUCGGGAAAAUGUUAAGUGAAUGAAUCGGUGGAUGGGUUGUGCUGGGACUUUGCUGAAGUCCCUGGGAUAAGAGAACAUCAUUCCCAUUAUCUCCUGAAACGUGAGGCCUCCAUUCCUCAGUUGGCAUCCACCGUGAGUCUGGUAAUGUAUUCCCAGUGAUGAGGGCAUCGACUGUGAUUGAAGACACAGAAGAGACAUUGGAGAGAAGACCACGUGAAGACAGACUGGAGCAAGGUGUCUACAUGCCACGGAGCAGAAAGGAUUCCUACCAGCCUCCUUGAUUUCCAAAUCCCAUUCUCCACAACUUGAUGACGAAGCAAGAAGGCCCUGGCCAGAUGUUGGCACCUUGCUAUUGGGCUUCCCAGACUCCAGAACUGUGAGAAACAAACUAUUAUUAUUAUUAUUAUUUUACAAAAUAAAUGGCCCAGUCUGUGAUAUUCUGUUUAGUAGCACAAAAUGGACUAAGACUGUUAGCUUUUCUCUUGUUUGCGUACUAAGUUAGGUGGUUUGUUAGGGAACUCAAAGUGCAGCCAGCCUUGGGCACAUGGCCUCCUGCGUGUUUUGACUCAGUAGACCCAUCACUGGAUGUGUGCUGAGCCGGAAGGGGCUGUGACCUCCGUCUGGUAGCUCCCUUGCUCCGAAGGGGGGUCUUUGUGAGGGAGGACUCAACUGCAGGCUCCCAGUCACCAAUACUCCCAGCAACUACAUGGACAGUACUCAUGUCCAGAGCAGGCAGUCUACCCUCUAUGCCAUGUCUUUGACACCCAGGAACAAUGAACAACUUCCACAUAAUCAAACAACUCAUGAAAUAAAACAGUGUGGUGUGUGUGUGUAGGUAUACACUGAUACAUCAAUAUCGAUAUCAAUAAUAAGGGUGACUCAAUUAGAUACUAUAAUUAGGAAGAAUAUUUUCUCCUCUUGGAACCAACAUGUGGAUAUAGAAACUGUAAAUGAUAACACAAGGCAGAACAGUAAAGACUAGAGAAGACAGAAACCCAGACCUCGUGUUUGCGCUAGGCAGUCUUUGUACCAUGGUUUGGUAUUCCCGCUUUCAUAUUACUAAAGGAAAUAAUCUUUAAUAACUGUAUUUGAUAUUUUAGUCAUUUAAUUCCUUUUGGGAUGUACAUCUUUUAAGAAAAGGUGUUAUUUGAAAGUUCUUUAUGUAUGUGAAGAUGAAUUUUAAAAAGAUGGAUGACUUUGUUGGCUGAAAUUUCUUGAAGUGGAAGUAAAACCCUCUAAUAUCAUGUACAGCAACUUCUAUGAAAAAUCAUCUUUGAUCCAGACAUUGUAACGAAUACAGAGAGCAUAAAAGAAACAGGAAAGUUUGGGGAAUGAGGUGCCUCAAACGCAUUUUGUUCUCACUAAUCAAACUUCAAAACAACAGAUUUUUAAAAGAAUACUUUUAAAACUACAUUCUUUAUAGUUUUGAGUCCAUUGAAGCUAAACCUUUAAUCGAAACUGUCAAGUUUGCUGCAUACUACUGACCACCGUUUUCAGAAGUAGAAGAUGAGGAAUUUUCAAAAUUUGCAUGAGCUAUGAUUCUUAAACAUUCUUUCUGGAAAACAUGUUUUAAAAAAUUAUUCUUUCUGGAAAACGUGUUUUGAAAAAGUGUUAUUUAUAUUAUACAUAGAAUUACUGUAUGUACUGCCUCAGGAUCUUGUAUGUGAAACAUUUGGGUAUUAAACAAUGAGGUGCCUUUUUAGUUGAUUUA